GCCACGAUUAGCUCUGUUGGUAGAGCAUGACACUCAUAAUAUCAGGGUAGUGGGUUCGUGUCCCAUGUCGGGCG
rfam:Lepisosteus oculatus linkage group LG2, whole genome shotgun sequence.